ensembl:lncRNA
CCCGGGGCAGGGGCGGCUCUUCUAGCGCGGGGAUGUGGCCACAGGAACCCAGGACCAGGACAAGGCGGGAAUUGACAGGAAGUAUUGGGAAUCAAACUCAAGACCUUGCACUUGCGAGGCAGGCAUGGCACUGAGCUAAAUCCCCGGCUUAACAUACAUUUUAAUGGGAGACCAAAGAGCAAGUUAACCCUGCAAUUACAAUUCAAGAAUUUGCAAUGCACAAGAAAUGUCUUAAGCACAGCAAUUAAACAAAUAAAAAACACCAUUCAAAUUGGAAACCACAAAUACAUUUAUCAGUUUGCUAAAAUUGAUAAUUUGAUUCUUCCUGUAAAAAACCUCUCUAUGCCUGGCAAGACACAGUCUCAGCUCAACUUUGGCCAUUCAGUGGCAGGCUGGAGUUGCUCCAGCUUCCAGACGCCAGUAGGCAGUGCCAGGAUGGUGACACCAAGCAACCACUGGCCUUGGGGCUCCCAAAGCCAGGAGUGCCCCUCAUACUGUCUUGCUCUGCACCCUCUGGUGCUUUUCCAGCUUUUCUUCAUUCCAUUUAUUUACAUGCACUUAG